UAGGGAAUCUUCCACAAUGGACGCAAGUCUGAUGGAGCAACGCCGCGUGAGUGAAGAAGGUUUUCGGACCGUAAAGCUCUGUUGUUGGUGAAGAAGGAUAGAGGUAGUAACUGGCCUUUAUUUGACGGUAAUCAACCAGAAAGUCACGGCUAACUACGUGCCAGCAGCCGCGGUAAUACGUAGGUGGCAAGCGUUGUCCGGAUUUAUUGGGCGUAAAGCGAGCGCAGGCGGAAGAAUAAGUCUGAUGUGAAAGCCCUCGGCUUAACCGAGGAAUUGCAUCGGAAACUGUUUUUCUUGAGUGCAGAAGAGGAGAGUAGAACUCCAUGUGUAGCGGUGGAAUGCGUAGAUAUAUGGAAGAAUACCAGUGGCGAAGGCGGCUCUCUGGUCUGCAACUGACGCUGAGGCUCGGAAAGCAUGGGUAGCGAACAGGAUUAGAUACCCUGGUAGUCCAUGCCGUAAACGAUGAGUGCUAAGUGUUGGGGAGGCU
rnacentral:rRNA from 1 species